rnacentral:rRNA from 1 species
CAUGCAUGUCGAGCGAGAGCUUCGGGACUUGCGGCGGACGGGUGAGUCACGCGUGGGAACAUGCCCUUCUCUACGGACUGGCCCCGGGAAAGUGGUAGUACUACCGUAUACGCCCUUUGGGGGAAAGAUUUAUCGGACAAGGAGCGGCCCGCGUUGGAUUAGGUAUCUGGUGGGGUAAUGGCCCGCCCCCCCGACGAUCCAUAGCUGGUUUGAGAGGAUGAUCCGCCACACUGGGACUGAGACACGGACCAGACUCCUACAGGAGGCACCCUGGGGGAAUCUUACACCAUGGGCGCAACCCUGAUCUAGCCAUGCCGCGUGAGUGAUGAAGGCCUUAAGGUUGUCAAACUCUUUCCGCUGGGAAGAUAAUGACUGUCCCAGCAUAAGACUCCCCGGCUAACUCCGAGCCAGCGCCCGCGGUAAUACGGAGGGGGCUAGCGUUGUUCGGAAUUACUGGCCGUAAAGCGCACGUACGCGGACUGGAAAGUCAGAGGUGAAAUCCCACGUCUCAACCUUGUAACUGCCUUUGAAACUAUCAAUCUGGAUUUCUAGAGAUGAGAGUGGAAUUCCGAGUGCAGAGGUGAAAUUCGUAUAUAUUCUGAGGAACACCAGUGGCGAAGGCGGCUCACUGGCUCGAUACUGACGCUGAGGUGCGAAAGCGUGUGGAGCAACACGAUU